rnacentral:rRNA from 1 species
UACGUAGGGUGCGAGCGUUGUCCGGAAUUAUUGGGCGUAAAGGGCUCGUAGGCGGUUUGUCGCGUCGGGAGUGAAAACCACAUGCUUAACAUGUGGCUUGCUUUCGAUACGGGCAGACUAGAGGUAUGCAGGGGAGAACGGAAUUCCUGGUGUAGCGGUGAAAUGCGCAGAUAUCAGGAGGAACACCGGUGGCGAAGGCGGUUCUCUGGGCAUUACCUGACGCUGAGGAGCGAAAGUGUGGGGAGCGAACAGG